UUGAUUUAAUAACGGUUCGAAGGUUCGCCUUUAUAUUUAUUAAUCGAGUUUUUUUUUUUUUUUUGUGCUGACUUUGUGACUAACUCAAAUCGGAAGCAGAGCCUAAAUUACCACCCAUCCCUGCACAGUGGUAAUCCGCACCUGUGCUGGGCAGCAUUCAAGUGGAUUGUGUGGUUCAAAGCGAACGAGAACGAAAGCAGCAGCGGCAGCAGCAGAUGAGAAGAUUUCUGAAAUAUUUGUGUGCACGCCGCAGCAGCAGAUAAGCGACAUUUCAAUUCAAUUAAUGGCGCGCGCAGCACAAAACACAUAUGUAUAUAUAUACACACACAUACACGAGCACACACAUAUUGCAGCAUAAAACUGGCGAGAGGCUGAGAAUAAAACUGUAAUCGUAAUCCCUGCAGAGCAAGAGUAACAGCAGCAGCAGCAGCAUAUACAACACCAAUAACAACAACAACAACAACGGCGACGCCAGCCAAGUCUCUUUCGGCAGCAGCGCGCAGCGAAUAAGAAGUAGUGUAGUAUGAGAAGAAAAAAAUUUUUUCUUCAACCAAACGUAAUUGCACUGACUACGGUGCUUAGAUUUGCAAUGGAAAUGCACAUAAAACUGUUUGAAUGCUACUCACGCGUACAAUUGAACACUUGUGGUCCGUUUUUGUGGCCAGUUUGUUUACUUUAAUGCGCCAUAAGUAUGUGAAAUUUGUUAUUUAUUUGAAAUUGUUUAUCAUAGGAACUGCACACACGACGACGACAACGACAACGACGACGACGACAAACGACCGACGACAGACACGAAGGGUGUACAACACGAACUAGCUACAACAGUAGCGUUUUGCAACACUAACGCGCUGCCACUGCUCUUUGCCAGAAAAUGAAUAAAUGCUUUUCAAACAA